GCAAGUCGAGCGGUAGAGAGGUGCUUGCACCUCUUGAGAGCGGCGGACGGGUGAGUAAAGCCUAGGAAUCUGCCUGGUAGUGGGGGAUAACGCUCGGAAACGGACGCUAAUACCGCAUACGUCCUACGGGAGAAAGCAGGGGACCUUCGGGCCUUGCGCUAUCAGAUGAGCCUAGGUCGGAUUAGCUAGUUGGUGAGGUAAUGGCUCACCAAGGCGACGAUCCGUAACUGGUCUGAGAGGAUGAUCAGUCACACUGGAACUGAGACACGGUCCAGACUCCUACGGGAGGCAGCAGUGGGGAAUAUUGGACAAUGGGCGAAAGCCUGAUCCAGCCAUGCCGCGUGUGUGAAGAAGGUCUUCGGAUUGUAAAGCACUUUAAGUUGGGAGGAAGGGCAUUAACCUAAUACGUUAGUGUUUUGACGUUACCGACAGAAUAAGCACCGGCUAACUCUGUGCCAGCAGCCGCGGUAAUACAGAGGGUGCAAGCGUUAAUCGGAAUUACUGGGCGUAAAGCGCGCGUAGGUGGUUCGUUAAGUUGGAUGUGAAAUCCCCGGGCUCAACCUGGGAACUGCAUUCAAAACUGUCGAGCUAGAGUAU
rnacentral:rRNA from 1 species